AGCGAACGCUGGCGGCAGGCCUAACACAUGCAAGUCGAACGAACUCUUCGGAGUUAGUGGCGGACGGGUGAGUAACACGUGGGAACGUGCCUUUAGGUUCGGAAUAACUCAGGGAAACUUGUGCUAAUACCGGAUGUGCCCUUUUGGGGAAAGAUUUAUCGCCUUUAGAGCGGCCCGCGUCUGAUUAGCUAGUUGGUGAGGUAAAGGCUCACCAAGGCGACGAUCAGUAGCUGGUCUGAGAGGAUGAUCAGCCACAUUGGGACUGAGACACGGCCCAAACUCCUACGGGAGGCAGCAGUGGGGAAUCUUGCGCAAUGGGCGAAAGCCUGACGCAGCCAUGCCGCGUGAAUGAUGAAGGUCUUAGGAUUGUAAAAUUCUUUCACCGGGGACGAUAAUGACGGUACCCGGAGAAGAAGCCCCGGCUAACUUCGUGCCAGCCGCCGCUGUAACAC
rnacentral:rRNA from 1 species